UUUUGGUCUAUCCCCAUGCGGACUACGCAUUCAUAGUGGCACUACUUAUGAUUGUUAGCGAGAUGAAACAUUAUUUUGACGAAAUGGUGUAUUUGGCCGCCGGAAUGGCACCACUUGGAGUUGGUAUGAAUUAAAGGAGCUCCCAAGUAAUUUUACUCAAUUAUGGACCUAUUUAAAAUUAAAUCAUGGGCUUGAUUUCUGUUAUAGAAUAGAUAGGGUUUGGUUUUCAUUUUCAGAGGAAUGUUUAUUUCCACCUCAUUGCAUGAAUUUGAGAGAACAAAAAAGCGUUAACAAAGUCUGGUUGGAUGGAUGAUGCCAAAUAACAUUUGCAUCUUCAAUGAGCCACGACCAUCAAAGAGGUUCCUUGCUACACUCUCUUGAGCACGAACACUCUGUCAUGCAAAUUCCCUAAUCAAAUCAUCUAUCUUCUUUGUGGGUAGGUCUUGUAUCAUACAAGCAUAGUUUUAAAUUGCGAUCGCGGUGGUGGUUUCUAGUUACAUUGUAGUGAGUCAGAAAACUUUUAUAUUACAAGUAAUUGUAGGAAAAUAUGAAAAAUAUGACUGAUGCGAUCAUAAUUGUGAUUGUAAUUGUUGCAUUGUGAUGAGUUAAUAUAUUUUGACAUUAGGACCGCAAUUAUGAUUGUAGAACCCCAUUUAAAACCAUGCAUACAAGUAUCAGCAUUGUAAGUCACAAUGUAAUUUAAAUGAUUUAUUAAUUUUUGGAUAGUGUCGCAACCUACCAUUCGGCAGGAGGGCGACACGAGGGCUCACGGGUGCGUCUUCCAUGGGAGGAAGAUGCGCGGAGUCGCCACCAAUGUUUAUUCGAGAAAAACGUCGGAAAAAUCGAAAAGAUGUGAUUUACGAACUUUAAGUGUGAAAGGUUCCAGAGUUGUAUUUACGCAUGGGGAAGGUAUUAGCACCCCACGCGUCCGUCACAAAGGACGAUAGCCUUUAAUCAAGUGUGCAAAGAUGUCUUCAAAUUGUUUUAUUUUCCCUUUUUUACGUUUUUAUGUCUUUUUAUGCCUUUUUGUAUUUUUUAUCUUUUUGUGGUCGACAAGGGUGUUUUCCUUACUCCUACGUAUUCCUCAAUUGUGAUAAGAAAAUCAGGCCUACGUAAUUCUUUCAAAAGGGGCGAAUCAAGUGAUUCUUUUUACUUGGAAGGGGUCAUUUAAGGCGUUGGACCUUAAAAUGAUCCAUUUUACUUGGUGAGAAAGUUAAGGCGUUGGACCUCUAACCAUCUCACGAGGUCGACAAAAGUGGGGCUUUUGCUCCUUCGUAUCCUCCAUCGAAGAGGAAAUCAGACUUACGUAGUUCUCGCAAAAGCGGUAAAGUUACAUGUUGAUUUUAUGCUUUUGAACGGUCCAUGUUAACCGAUAAAAGCAAAGAGGAUCGUUUAAGGCGUUGGACCUUAAAACGAUUUUUAGUGAUUUUUUGCGGACAAAGCUUGAUUUGUGAGUUGAUUUUAACCUUAGUUUCACUUUGGUUAUUAGUCAAUUGAUCCAAGAAAACUUCCAAAGAAAAACGCCCGAUUGAAUUUUUUUUAUUAUUUUAUUCAAAGAUAUUUUGAUUAUUUUAUUAUUAUUUUUCAAUAUAUUUUGAUUAUUUUAUUAUUAUUUUGCUUUUUUUUUUGUUUAACCAAGAUUACAGCGUGAAUAAUCGGUUAGAUUUUGUUUUAACAGUGAUUAAAUGAGAUUACAACGCAAAUGAUCAGUUGAAAUUCAUUUUAUCAUUUAUUAGGUGAGAAAACGACUUAAAUAAACAGUUAAAGUAUGUUAAAAACAGAAGAAAAGAAAACUGAAAGUAAGUGAAAUUAAAGUGAAAGUUGCUGAACACGGUAUAUUAAAGUGAAAUUAAAGAAGGGCAUAGACUCGAAUUGCUAUUUACACUCCUAUCUUGAUAAGUUCACCCCCCAUUUUUGUGUUUUUGGCUGUUUUCUUUUCGGAAUGUUGCGAAACUUUACGGAUUAUGCAACAAUACUCUUUUUGACUUCUGGAAUGUUGCGGAACUUUACGGAUUGCGCAACAAUGUUUCUUUUUUACUUCCAGAAUUUUGCGGAACUUUACGGAUUGCCUAACGAUGGGGGUUAAGUACCUCGAGGCGAUCAAGCGAAGGUUGCAUGCCACCAAAUAAUGGUCCCCAUACAAAAUUAGGAUAUGAGAGAUAGAUAUUAAAUUGCAUCUAAAUUGUGGAAUGUCUAAAACAUCAAGAAAUUUAUGCCUUUUUUGAGAUUCGGGUAUCCUGUUUCCUUAACCGUAGUCACAUCAAAAGCAACUAGGCACUAUGAUAUGUAGUGGUUCUUUUCAAGGUUUCGCAUUAAUUGAAUAUAUACAUUACCAAUCAUGUGAUUGAGAUGUUCACUAUCAUUGUUCGAGUGAGAUCAAGAAAGGGAUGUGAAUUUCAGCUUAAUUCAAAUCUUAAAAUCUAACUCAGAAUGCCGAUUGCUCCUUCCAUAUAUUAUCUUUAGUUAAUAUUAAACUUGUUUUCAUCGCAUAGGGCCAGCUGGUUAUAAUCGCACCCUUCAACAGUUGCAUUCUUCUGCUAGUAGUUGUCAGCCCGUGUAAAGCGCGCUCCCCCGAACAGAUUUCUGUGUUUCAAAAAGUUUUGCAUAUGUUCUAGUUUGCGUACGAAAAUUUUUCUUGAAAACUCAUUUGGUUACACCCAAAAGUAUGUUUGCAUAUGAAAAUUUUAUUUAAAAACUCGGUCUUCUAGAAGUAACACAGUAGUUAUUUAUUAAACUUAAGUUUACAAACUUUAAUUCAAAUAUAUGCAAUAAAGCAAUGGAGAUUUUUAGAGUGGUCUAGGAGGUCAAAGUCAGAAGACAAAGGGAAACAACGCCUCAUAUAUAAUGGCAAACCCUCUUAGUUUUUCUAAAAGUUUGACAUUUUUUUCUCUCUGUUAUCUGAGUAAUAUAUUGCCUUUAUUUUGGAAUGACUUAUAACUAAUUAUAAAACAAUAAGAAUAUUAAACAUAGGUUAUAUCUAUAAAUCGUUUACCAUAUAUUUUUAGGUAGGGAAAUAAGGCAUAUUGAAUCUGUGAGUUUUUUGGAUCUCUAAACAUAAUAUAUGACCAAAAUUAGAUACUGUCUACGGAAGAUUAGCGAUACCUUGAGUUUUGUUGGGUUACUGUGAAUUAAGCUUAUCUGAACUAUGAAUACAUAAAGCUACAAUUUUUUUCAUCCUUUAAGAGAAAUGCAUAAUGCGGAGCCAGUGGAAGGGGAAUAAUCUUCAAGGCAUGCGCACUUCAGAAGAUUGAUUUUAUCCCUCCAAGUUAUACCUAGAAUAAAGUUAAAUAUUAAAAAUUAAAAUAUUACAUCCUUUAGAAGUAAAUUUUCCUUUGAUAAUAAAUUAGACAUAAAUUGAUACUUGCACAACUCGUGAGACUCGACAACGCUUCUAUUUUUAUUUAUAGCGAACAAUACUUAUAUUUAGUAGUACUAAUUAUACUUCACUCGAUCAGUGAACUUGUCAUCCGAAGGUCAUAAAAAUUGAAUCUUUUUAUACCCCUUAAAAUCCUUUCUCAAAAGAGUAUUUGGUUCAAAAGAUAUAAUACAUGUAUAAUAAUUCUUACAACAAUUUAUACAACAUGAUUUUUGUGUCUAUAUUUCUAUUCUAUCAUUUAUCAUCUUUCAAAAUUUUCUCUCUCCUUUCACUUAUCUCUCUUUAUUGUAAGAUUUAUUAUACAAAUUAUUGUACAAAUAUCAUUUCUUUUCGUUCAAUUAGGCAAAAUGACAUCAAGGUAAAUUGCUUGGGUAUAGGCCGAAUAAGGUCAAGAGAGCAAGACUAAAACUUCCCACACUUUCAUCAUUGUUUUCUGCUACACCGCAUUGCAUUUCAGAAAUUCAAUCAGGAAUGCAAAAUCUGGACGUAAUAGUGGAAGUACAGGAAACAACAUUCAAGAAUAAGUUUUAUUCAUAAGAUCCAAAAAGUACACGCAACUUUUCAAGUUACAAGUUUACACUAGCUUAAGAGGGAGAUUAAUUUUUAAUAUAUAUAUAUAUAUAUAUAUAUAUAUAUAUAUAUAUAUAUAUAUAUAUAUAUAUAUAUAUAUAGGAUUAAGUGAGAUUCGGGAGAUACACAAGCUAUAUAUGAGCUUAAACAACCAAAUUAGCUCAAAAGUUAAAUUGUUUUUUACUCGGAAAUUGCUGAGUGGGAUCUGAAAAGUACAAUUAUUAUUUAAAUGAACUUUAGUGAAUAAUAAUUAAUAGAGAAAAUGAUUUUUAUACACCACAUUUUUUAAGGAAAAUAAUUUUUGUUCUUAUUUUUAGUCAAAUGUUGUUAAGGUCUUUAUUCAUUCAUACCAAUAAAUUUGGUCUUUUAACUUUAUUUCAGAAAACAUGUAGAUUUAGUUCAUCCAAUUUUAAGAAUUUAUCAUAGUUUUUUAAAUUAAGAGUUACUAAAUCCGCGUGUAUUUUAAAGUUUGAAGAAAAUCAAAUUUAUUAAGAUGAAAAUAAAAGACUAGAUCACAUUUGACUAAAAGUAUACGAACUAAAAAGUAUUUUAUUUUCUUUAUUUAAAUACUUAUUGUUUCUAUUUAUAUGUCUUCUUAUCACAUCAUAUAAUUUAUUGUACCACAAUCUAUUUGUUUUAUCUCUCCUAAUAUGUGUUGAAUAACAUUUGAGGUAUCUAAAAAUCAUUUUUGUAAAUAAUAAUGACUAAGGUGGCUCUUUUGUAACAAAUUAGAGAAAAAUUAUAUUUGAAAAUUCAAUCUUUUCAAAUACUUAAUCAACACUUAUCAAUCUUUUCUAUCUCUCUUCUUAUCUCAUUAUAUAUAUAUAUAUAAUACUUAUAUUUUUUUCUCUCUCUUAUAGGUGUCACAUGGUAUUUUAGGUGUUCAAGCAUCAUUUUUCUGUAAAAAAAUGGAUAAUAGUUAAAGCACAUGAUGGUCCGGCAAUGGAAGUGAUUAAUUGAAAAGAUUGAUUGUAUGGUUGAGGGCGAUUUUAUGAGGAAUAUAAAAGUGAAAAUUAUAUAAAGAAGAAAAGUGAAUGUGUUUAGUCGUAGUUAAUGAAGUAUAAAAUGUAUCCUAUGAAAUAGAAAUAUUUCAUCCCAAAAAUGUGAAUGUGUAUGUUGUUUUUAGUUUGAUGCCUCAAAAGUUAUCAAAGCACAAUAAAGACCAUGUGUGUGUUUGGAUGAGAGUUGGUAAAAUUAAUUUUGUAAAAUUAAUUUUGAAGUGAUGUAAUUUAUAUUUGGAUAUUUUAUUAUAUAAUCAAGUAAGGAUUAAAAUUCAGUACAAAAUUUUAGAUUCAACGCAAAAGUUAAUGAAAGUUGUUUUAAUCCAGAAUCAAUUUUGAAUUUUUCUCUAAUGUAAAAUCAAACAUGUAAAAAUAUAUCAAAAAUUCAUUAUAAACUCAAAAUCAUUUUUGAACACCAAACCAAAUACCUUUAGUUGUCAAAAAACAUUGGCUCGUUUACAUAGUUGAAAAUAGAGGUAUUCACUAUGAGGGUUGAUUCGAUUUUUAGAUAAAAGGUGAUUCAAACGAAGUAUAAAACAAAGAUACAGUUUGGUUUAGUUUGAUUUAAAUAUAACAUCAAAUUCAAACUAAAUUAAACCAAUUUUUACAGUUUGAUUUAGUAUGGUUUCACUUUUUUUAAUAUAUUAUCAUAGUUUAGAUUUAUAAAUUAAACUUGUGAUUAUUAUAUAUUAUAUAUGCUAUAUUAUUUAAAAAAUGAUUUUUAUUUUAUUGAAUUUUAUUUAACACAUUUUAGUUAUAAGAUACUAUUUUCUCUUCUAUUUAGCAAUGAAAUUACCAACUCUUUUUUAAUAACAAUAAUUUGUAUAUCACUUAAUAUUUAACACUGCUUUUUAACAAUAUUAGUACAUCUUUUUUUUAACAUGUAAAAAUAAUAUAUAUAUAUAUAUAUAUAUAUAUAUAUAUAUAUAUAUAUAUAUAUAUAUAUAUAUAUAUAUCUUGAUUAAAAUACAAAGAAAAAUAAUAUAUAAAUUAUUUAAUACUUAUUCUUAUUUAUCACAAUAAAAAUUAAUAUAAUUAUAAUAUGCAGUUUGUUUGAUUUUUUAUUACAAGAUCUAAAAAUUAAAUCAAAAUGUAAAAAAUAUGUAAUUUUUUGGUUUUUUUUAUUUUUGCAGUUUUUUUAUGUAAGCAAUUUUGGGUUUAUUUGAAUCGAUUUGGUGAUUUAUAAGCAAUUUAAUUCGGUUUAAAAUACUCUGGUUGAAGACAAUUAGUUUCGUCACAGUAGUAGGUACACCAUUACCGAUUAACCCGCAAUUAGGUUGCUACACAGUAAAAGAAAGGAGGCAUGCAUGUGAACUUUUUUAACAACUUUGCUUUCUUCUUUAUUUCAUUCAAUUUUGUUCUCACAUUUUAAUUCAUUCUCUUUCCUAACAACCUAAAACAAUGGGAACGUCGGUGUCGCUAUGUGUUUGAGAUUGACCACUCGUACUCGUGUUUAACGCGUGUAUCUAUAGAUAAUGAUUGGUUUUUUACUUUUUACGCGGGUAUGUAUGCUCCUUUACUUGGUCAGUAUAUUUCUAAGAACAUAAUGAUUGGUUUUUUUACUUUUACACGUAUAUAUAUGUACGGAAUAAUGAACAUGCUUUAUAAACUAGCAUAUAAAUUAAACCACAAGAGACUCCGUUUCGUUCCAUAACAUAUCUCCCUCUCCAAAUGGCAUUCCCAGUUAUCAGCAGUGACUACUGUGCUCCUUACGCUAUCAAUCUUCAAAUCAAUACAAAAACAGGUUUCACGUACGACGCAAACAAUGCCUGUCGCUUUUAUAUCGAAGAUAAAUUAUUCACACUUCACAAGCGACGUGUCUUGUGUGAUAAUCAAGGAAACCCCAUUGUCACUCUAUACAAGAAGGUUUGGCUACUGAGGCAUCUUAUACUCAUUGAUUUCCUUCAAUAAGUUAGUUAGUUAAUUAGGUUUAUUGAUUCGAUAUUCCCAGCAAAAUCUUUUUAAAAUUUUCGUUUUAGCUACUAAAUUAUCCAUCUAUAUUCUUCUACUUAUUGAUUUCCCUCAACUAAUUAGUUCAUUAACUGUAUUAAUUCAAUAUUUCCAGCAAUUUUUUUAUAUAAGCUACUAAAUUAUCCAUAUAUAUUGUUAUUAUUCUUAAUUUUUUUUAUGUAGAGAAUGACAUUGCAUGGGCGAUGCCAAGUUUUUAGGGGUUAUAAAAGCAAAGAUUUCUCUCAAUUGCUCUUUUCAGUGAAGAGAUCAUCAAUGAUACCGAGUGGGAUGGUUAACUUAGAGGUCUUCCUCGCUAACAACCAAAGAGAAAGUGCCUGUGACUUUAGAGUCAACGUUUAAUUUGUAGAGAUAAAAGAUCAUGCACUGUUUAUGCCGGUGAAUCUCCUAGAAUUGUUGCCACGGUAUGUACUGCGUUAAUUCUUGUGUGUUUUAUAUAUACACAAGCACACAAUACACAUAAACUUAACUGCCUUUUUGAUAAAUCUGAAUGAAUAUAAUUAGUACACUGCAUCUGUUUAAUUUCUUUCUCUCUCUCGCAGAUGGAGAAUAAUGGCGGCUUCAAUGUUUUGGUCGAUCCCUAUGUGGACUACGCAUUCAUAGUGGCACUACUUAUGAUUGUUAGCGAGAUGAAACAUUAUUUUGAUGAAAUGGUGAAUUUGGCCGCCCGAAUGACAAUUGCAUUGGGUAGUAGUAUGACUUAACAGAGCUCCAAAACAAUUUUACUCAAUUAUGGACCUAAUUAAAAUUAAAUCAUGGGCUUGAUUUCUGUUAGAAUAGAUAGGGUUUGACUUUUGUUUUUAGAGGAAUGUUUAUUUCCACUUCAGUACCUUAGAUCUAAGUUUUGUUGUACCAGUACAAGUAUCAUUUCUUAAAACAAAUGCUUGAAAACAAUCUUUCUAAGGUAAUUAAAACUUGUCGGGUUAUAACCCUUACAUCAUCAUUUGCAUAUUAUCCAUCUUUCCUUUUAUGAAUUUCAAUAUAUAAUUUCCCACAAUUCGGUAGCUUUUUAGUUUCCAACGACAAAGAUGUAUAAAGGUUAUGUUAACAUUAGUAUAAGUUUUUAAACAGUAUAGGUUUUCAUACAGUGUAACUACCAUCGCGUUUCUUCUUAUGGAAUUAGCUUUAGAGCCACUGAUUUGCGAAAUUACUUGUUUCUUUGGAUUUUUUUUUUUACAAAGUUCCUAUUGACAAAACAAUUACAAUUUCACAAAGUAAUCAAAUAAGAAAACUAAUAUUUUAUUUAGAAGGGGUUAUAAAACCUAUGCAAAUCAAAGUAAUAUUAGUCUUUUUUUUAAACUCAAAUUUGGAAUGUUUGGAGUAAUUUUUAGAUUUAAUUUAAAAAAAUAAACUAAUUUUUAAAAUAUAAUUAAUUUUAAAUAAACUCAUUUUGAAAGUUUCAUAUCAUAUUAAAAUAAUUUAAGAGUGUUUUUUUUAUGAUAGUGACUACAAUGAUGAUGAUAAUGAUGUCAACAAUAACAAUUACGAUGAUAGUGGUGAUAGUAGUGGAGAUGACAUUAGUGGUGGUGACGAUGUCGAUGAUGGUAUCAGUCAAUGGUGUGGUGGAGACAUGGGCAAUGGUGAUAGAGAGGUCGUAUUGGUGGUGGUGGUAGUGGUAACAAUGUUAGUAACGAUGGUGGUUGUUGCGUUGUUGAUGAUGGUUGUAGUGGCAGCGCUAGUGAUAGAUGUAAUAUUGUUGGUAAUGAUUAUGGUGGUGUCAAUAACGGCAACGGUGACAUUGAUGGUGGUGGUGGGGAUAAUAAUGCUAGUGAUGAUGGUGAUGUCGGUGGUGACAAUGGAGGCAAUGACGAUAUUUUGUUUGGAAUGAGAGCGUUAAAGGAUAUUUUGUUGAUUAUAUUGAUAGAAGAGCUUGUGCUCUUAAAUAGAAUACAAGAUAAUCUAAAAAAAAAACUCCUAAAUUGUCUAUUCCUAUAAUUAAGGGUCAAUGAUUCCUGGUCAUGAAUACAAAAUAUGCAGUUAAUCAAAUAUCCUAAUUAUGGGAUUUAAAUCCUAUCUAUAAAAGGAAAUAAAAUAUAUAAUGGGUUUCUGACACUCCCCCUCUAGUUGGUGAGUGGAUGUUAUCCAUUCCGAACUUGCUAACAAUGGAUUGAAAUGUAGGUCCACUUAAUCCUUUUGUUAGAACAUCUGUUGGCUGAUUUGUUGGGGAUAGAAAUGUUGUACAAAUUGUCCCAUUAAGUGUUUGUCUACUUCAACAUGCUUGGUCCUAUCAUGUUGCAUUAGAUUAUGUGCAAUGUUUAUUGCCGACUUGUUAUCAUAGUAUAGUGUAAUAGGUCCACUCAAUCUUUAGGUCAUCCAAAAUUAUUUUCAGCCACAGAAGUUCACAAAUUCCUAAGGCCAUAGCCCAGAAUUCUGCUUCUGCACUUGACCAUGCAACAACGUCUUGUUUUUUGCUCCUCUAAGUUACUAAGUUUCCUCCAAGAAAAGUGUAGCGUUCGAAGGUGGAUCUUCUGUCAUCUAUAGAUCCAACAUAGUCAGCUUAUGUAUAGGCCUCCAAAGUCAUUUCCUCCCCUUUUUUAAAUAAAAAUCCCUUUCCAGGAGUACCUUUCAAGUACUGUAGAAUGCAGUAAACAACUCUAAGAUGAUUUUUUUUGGGAUUAUGCAUGAACUAACCACUCCUACUGCAUAAGCUAUGUCUGGUCUGGUAUGAGACAAAUAGAUUAAUUUUCCAACUAGUUUUUGAUAGGAUUCUCUGUCCACAGUUGCAUCUUCAACAUAUUCACUUAGCCUGUGACUCUACUCAAUAGGAGUUUCUAUUGGUUUGCAUCCCAAUUUAUCAGUUUCAGAUAAUAAAUCCAACACAUAAUUUUGUUGGGAGAUGAAAAUAACUUGACAAGAAUGUGCCACCUCAAGCCCAAUAAAGUAUUUUAAUCUGCCUAAAUCUUUAAUCUCAAACUCUCUUAUCAGACACCCUUUUAGGAUGUCUAUUUUUGCUUGGUCAUUCCCUGUUACAACUAUAAAAAAACUACGUACCCCAUUGCCCAGAGGCUCUUCGCUAUGCAAAUGUAUGGGGGAGGGAUGUUGUACGCAGCCUUACCCUUGCAUAUGCAAAGAGGCUGUUUCCGGAUUCGAACCCAUGACCAACAAGUCACCAAGGCACAACUUUACCGCUGCACCAGGGCUCGCCCUCUAUUCCCUGUUACAACUAUAUCAUCCACAUAGACAAUUAGUGUAGUAACUCCCCCUAAAGCUGAAUGCUUAAUGAACAAAGCGAGAUCUCCUUGACUUCGUUUAUACCUCAUUGCCUUCAUCACCGUAGCAAACCUGCCAAUCCAAGCCCUAGGGAACUAUUUUAAUCCAUAGAGAGCCUUCCUUAGCUUACAACCUUUUUUUCUUUCUCAAAGUUAAACCUAGGUGGGACCUCCAUGUAAAUUUCCUCUUCAAGGUUGCCAUGUAGGAAAGCAUUCUUGACAUCAAGUUGCUACAAAUUCCAUCUAUAGUUAGCUACUAGAGAUAACAAUAUUCUAAUAGUGUUCAUUUUUGCAACAAGAGAAAAGGUUUAAAGGUAGUUAAUCCCAUAUGUUUGAUUAUACCCCUUAGCUACUAACCUUGCCUUAUACCUUUCUAGUGUCCCAUCUGCCUUAUAUUUAAUAGUGAAUUCCCAUUUACAGCCAACAUGUUUCUUUUCUUUAGCAAGUUCUACCAACUCCCAAGUUUCAUUUUUCUCUAGUGCAUCCAUUUCAACUUUCAUAGCUUCUCUCCACUCUUUGCUAUCCAAUGCUUCAUUAGCAGUUUUUGGGAUAGUGAUAGUGUUGAAAUGAGUAAGAAAACUUCUAUGAGUGUUGGAUAGUUUAUCAUAUGACAUGAAGUGAGGCAAUGGAUACCUUGGCCUCUGUGUACAUAUUCUAACACCCUUCCUUAUUUCAAUUGGAAAAUCCUCAACAUCAGUGGGCAUAUUCUGCUCCUCCAAAACAAUCCCAUCAGUUUCAAAUUCAGGGAGUAUAUUCUGCUCUUUCAAGACAGUCUCAUUAGUUUAAGUUUCAGGUAUUAGUUCAAAAUAUGGAACUUAGGCAGUUUGGAUAAUAGGUUUUGUCCUACACGUGUAAACUUGUAGUGGACAAGCAGCACUUGGAGUCUAUGUUUCGGUUGUCUUUGGACUCAUAGCAGGGGCAAGGGGAGUGUGUAUAGAACUGGAAGAAAUGUGUAUAGGACUUGACUCAUGUAUAUUGGAUUCACUUGGGGAGAUAAAUGAAAGAUUCUUGACCAGAUCAUUCUUAUCUUUCAUGCAUGAUUUAUCACCUUGAAGAUAAGGAAAAGAAACAUUUUCAACAAAAGUGACAUCAAUAGACACAAAGACCUUUUUUGUGGCAUGAUGAUAACACAUGUAUCCCUUUUGGGUAGGAGAGUAACCAACAAAUAUGCAUUUGAUAGCUCGGGGAUCAAGUUUUCCUUAAUAAGGAGAAUGAACAUGGACAGAGGACAUGCACCCAAAGAUUCUAGGAACAGGGUUAUUUGAAGUUUUGAAGUGUGGGUAAAAAUUGGAGAACAGUUGAAUGAGACUGUUGUUUUGAAGAGUCUGAGAGGGUAAACGAUUAAUCAAGUAGGCGGCUGCGAGGACAGCCUCACCCCAAUACUGUUUUGGAACAUUUGUGUGGAAUAAAGAUGCUCGAGUAACAACUAGAAGAUGCCUAUUUUUUUGGUCAACCACCCCAUUUUGUUGUGUGGUGUGGACACAUGAUGAUUCAUAAAUAAUUCCAUGUUCAUUGAAGAAGGAAGACAUUGUUUGGUUAUAAUAAUCUUUGACACUAUCAUAAUAGAAUCGUUUGAUGACUGUCCCAAACUAGUUUCUUAUCAUCUGAAAAAAAUUUGGAAUAUUUGACAGACUUCACUUUUCUGUUUCAAGAGAUGCACCCAGGAUACCCAAGUAUAAUCAUCAAUAAAAAUGACAAACAAGUAGGCCCCAGAUAUAUUUGGAAUGUUGGAUGGACCCCAAACAUUACUAUGUACCAAGGAAAAAGGAACUCGCAUUCUUUUAUUACUAAUAGGAAAGCUAACAUGUUUGUGUUUUGCAAAUUCACAAUUAUCCCAAUGAAACACUUCUAUGUCUAGUCCUUGAAACAAGCUGGGAAACAUAAUUUUUAGAGUACUAAAUGAAGGGUGACCUAAAUGAUAGUUACAUAACAAGAUGUCUUUAUUGUGGGAAGGAAGUGACUCUGAUAACAAAGACAAUGGAAGUUAACUCUUAGUGCUGCAUGUCCCACGACCUUACUCAAGAAGGUAGAACCCAUUUUCUUCCUUAACAAAUCCAAUCAUCUUCCCCAUUCCUUGAUCCUGAAAUUUGCAAAGUGUGGGAGAAGAUGUCACUAAACAUUGUAAGUUUAUGAAUAAAAAGAAAUUUGACAGAUAAUUUAGGCCCAUGUAAAACAUCUCUCAAAAUUAAAUUUUGACUUCGGAGAAUGUCUCCCUUUCCAGCAAUUGUAACAAAUGUGCCAUCUGCAGUUGCAAUUUUUUUAUUGUUGGGACAAGGUCUAUAUGAGAUGAAUUCAAUACAAGAAUGGGUCAUGUGAUUCGUAGCUCCAGAAUCAACAACCCAUGUCCCUUGUGCAGUAUAUUGUAGGACACUGAGAGCAUAGGCUUGGGAAGUACCUGAGAAUGCCAAGGAAGAACUACCUGUAUUUUUUAGUUUGACUAAAGUCUCUAGGAAUUCCUUCAAUUUUUUAAUUUCUUCUGUAUUAUAAUCUGUAAGGGGCUUGGAAGGAUUGUCUGCUGCAGCACCUGACUGAGCUAGGUGGGCUUGUGUUGGUUCUCCUCAUUGAGUACCUUUGGUGGUCCAAUUCCAGUUCUGAUUUGGAGGCUUACCAUAAAGUUUCUAGCAUCUGUCUUGGGUGUGUCUUGGCUUCUUACAAAAGGUACACCAUAAAGAAUCUUUGUUCUUCCCUUUGUCGAUCUCCAUCUUGGGGGCUACACCUCCAAGUUGAUUGGUCUGCCAUUGAUCAAUCUUCUUUCUCUUUUUGCAAUUAAGGUAGAACUUUCAGUGGAUUAGGGCUUCAUCAUCACCCCUCCUUACGUGAUUCUUCUGCUCGGAAGGCAGCCAUGGUUUCAUUGAGUGAGGAUAACUCCUUUCCUAGAACCAGAAUUCUUAUAGGAUCAAACUCACUAUUUAGCCUUGUCAAGAACUUAUAGAUUAUGCCCUUCUCCUUGUAACGUUUUAGUAAAUCAGCAUCUUUUGUGCAUGUUGCUUCAAAUAGUUCAUAAUGGUCUAACUCAAGCCAAAGCGUCUAUAGAGUCUGGGCAUAUUCACUAACGGAUCGGUCUCCUUGUUUGGUAGUCGUGAUCUUCAUCUUAAUUUCAUAAAUUUAAGCAGCAUCACCAACCUUGGAAUAGUUUUGUUCACAGCUCUCCCACACAUCCUUGGUGGUCUUCAUGAACAUGCAAGCAUCGCUCACCUCUGGCCCAUGGAAUUCUAUAGCCACAACAUCACUGCUACAUCUGCUUUAUCCCAUGUACCAAAGGUAUUGGCUGUGGAUUUUGGGGCAUCUUUCCCAGUAAGAUGAUUCAAUUUUCACCUCCCUUUUAGAAAGGUUUGGACAAAGUGAGAUCAUUUGAGGUGGUUUUUGCCAUUGAGAUGAAGGUUGGGUUAAAUAUUUUGCAGCUCAAUAGUGUUGGUAUUUUCGACUUCGGUGGGGUUAUUGGUUGUUGUAGACAUUCUUAGUUUUGUUGGGUGAGAUUCAAAGGCAUAGAGGGUGUUUUAGGGCCGAAAAAAGGCAAUAUAAGUCGUCAAAGGGAGAGGAAGACGGCAAUGCAGGCCGUGCAACAGAAGAAAAAAUGUGUGGCAGUGUAGGCCACAUGUUUACAUAGGCUCCCACAGAUUUUUGAGCGCUAAUUCCAAGUCAAAGGAUAAUUUUAUGAUUAUAUUGAUAGAAGAGCAUGUGCUCUUAAAUAGAAUACAUGGUAAUCUAAAAAGGGGAACUCCUAAUGGUCAUCAUUGUACCCGCUGCCAAUUCUUAUAAUUAAGGGUCAAUGAUUCCUGGUCAUAUAUAGAAAAUAUCCAGUUGAUCAAAUCUCCUAAUUACGGGAUUUAAAUCCUAUAUAUAAAAGGAAAUAAAAUAUAUGGUGAGAUUUGACAGGGAGAUAUUGUAAGAAAUGAAUCUAUUUAAUAAAUAUGAAAGAGAUAUUUAUUAAUUUCUCUAGUUCUUUAUAUAAGAAAUAAAGUACAUUUUUACUUCACAAAAAAAAUAAUGCAUUUUUUUGUCUAAGUAAUAAUUGAUAUUUGAUGAUUCUCUUCUUUUUUUUUUACCUUUAUAUGAAUCAUUAUCAUAAAAAAAAUACAAGAAACAUAUGAUCACUUACUAAUGUAUUGAUUUUUAUUUUUAUUUAAUAUAUAUUUUUAAUUUAUUAUUAAGUCUAUUAACGAGAUAUCAUCAUUUCCUAUGAAGGUGGAUGCAUACUUCAAAUAUCUUCUUAAUAAAUAUUGUUCAAUUGUUCAGUUUCAUUAAAUAAAAGUAAAUACAAUUAAGAUAAAAUUAUGACAUAAGUUAGAUAGAAAAAAUCAACGAAAAUUGUCAUAUUCUCUAAUAGACGUUUGUGCCUAUUUUUGGUGUUAAAUAAAAAAAUUCAAAUAAAAACACUCAAUCCCUAUUAACAAUACAAGUCACACUUAUUGGUGGAAAAAAUAUCCAUUAAAUUAUGUAUAGUGUCAUUAAAUAUUAAUACUUGUACUUACUAAAAUCUGGAAUUGGUCGACGUCAGGGUGGACGUGGCCAAGGUGAGUUUCAUGAUCUCGCAGGUUGGACUGAGAGUAUCCUUUUUAAGGAGAACAAGAGGGGAGACUUGUAAAACAAAUGAUUCUAACGCUCAAGUAAGUAUGUGAGUUAGGUGAGAGUGAGUGAUGAAAAGGAUGAGAUAGAACCUGGUACUUGUAGAGUGGAGUCGGAGCUGCAGGUCCUUGUUUGUAAGGACUGUUACGAUUUUGUGACAAUCCUUACAGAUAAUUACUAGCUUGUAGAUAAUAGCUAAUAGAUGAUUGUAGCUUAUAGAUCAUGUGUACCUUAUAAAUAAUUGAAUACCUGACACGUGAUAAGAAUGUUACAACAUAUUCAAAUAAUGAAGUGGUUAGAGAUAAUUUGUCGGUUUAGGAGUCUGACUACUAAGGACGAGACGUUCAUGCUCCUGUGACAGGGCUGACAUGGAGGAUUGACGUGUGUAUUGGAGUGUCACGUAGCUUGUCACAUAUAUUUUGUAGACCUCGAACAUUACAAUACUAUUACUUUAAUCAUUUGUUUUUAUGAGUAUUUUUAGAAUAAAAUUUAAAUUAUGACAUUAUCAAUUAAAAUUAACUAAGUUACCUAUUUUUAAUGGUCUGUUUGAAUUAGUCAUAUGUUUCUCAUAUAAAGAUUAUGUUUGGUAAGAUAUUUCACCAAGUUUUUAACUUUUUUAUAUUUUUUUCAAUUUUUAUCCUUAAUAUAUCUUAUUGAAUCAUAAGUGUUUGAUAAAAAUAUCGGUUGAAGUAGUUGAUAAAUGUAAUAUUACAUAAAAGGUAAAAAUAAUAAAAUUUUACCUUAAAUAAAAAAUGUUUAAGGACAAAAAGGAAGUAAAUAUAAAAAGUUAGGAACUAUAGAAGCUAGUGUUUUAAAAAUAUUAUUUUAAGUAGCAUUUUAAAAAAACACUAAAAACUACUUAAAAACUUAGUUUAUUAAACUGUCAAACAAGCUUUUUAAUUAAUAAAAAAAGAUAGAAGUUAACUUGAAAUAUUUUGUUAAAAAAAUCAUAGUAUUUUGAUUGGGGUGAACCUAUUGAUUUAUAUAAGGAAAAGAUGCUCCCUUUGUUUCAAAAUAAUUUUGUCACAAAUAAAUAAAUCAGGUUACAUAGCAAGAUAAAUGUGUUUGUCAAUCGCACAUCCUUAGAUCCUUCAAAAAGACUCAUCUUUUCCUGCAAAACCUGAAACUCAAGCGAGAGUACAAAAUGUCAAAACCUUUAAUAUCGUAUCAAACAAAUCCUAAGAUUUCUAUAAUGUCCUAUGAAAGAAUAAAAAAAAUAUUAAUUAAAAAUUAAAAUAGAUUGGCAAUGAGAAGCAUCGGACAAAUAUGAAGAAAAAAAUGUAAGCAGUCAACUAAGAAAAAGAUCCCAACAAUUUCAUUGUUUCUUCUUCUGUUCAAUUAUGAUAACAAAAUUAUUAAAAGAAAGAAAUAAAUUAGAUCUAUCGUUUUUCUAUUAGAUAACAAAAAGAGAGACAAAAUAAAAGAACAAUUUGCAAAUAUAAAAAAUCAAUUAGUAAAUCUGAAACAUCUAUGUCUUUAUCAUCCAUUGAUCUUGUAUGACGAUAAAGGCUUCUUAGACAAAUCUAGUUUUUUGUUUCUCUCCAAUGCAUAAUGUUUCCAUCUUUCUCUCCCUUUACUCAUGUGCACAACAUAAUGCUAAUAGGUUAAAUAAGUGAAUCUCAACGGAAAAAUUAUUAAAAAAACAUCAAAUUAGUUGAAAGGAAUAUGUUAGUGUUACCAAAAGAGUCGAAUAGGAGAGGAUCAAAAGAGAAUGAAAUGACAUCAUAUCAUAAAAAAAUGAAAGCAUACCAUAGAGUUGGGAAGAAGAAGAGGAAUAAGAGGUGUGAAAAUGGGAGAGGAAGAGUGUAUGGUAUGAACUUUCAUUUGCAAUUUGAAUUUAAAAGAAAAAUAAUGAAAGUGUACAUAAGUCAUUGCACCAAAAUUUAAUUUUUUUAAUUGUGACAUCAAUUUAAUUAAUAUUGAUAUACUUAUAAAUUGAUUUAAUUAUGACAUCGAUUUUAGUAAAAGUGUUCUAAAUUAUUUUUAAAAAAAUUAUUAAAAAUUUGAUUGCUAUCAAUCAAUUUUAACAAUCAUUAUUAUUAUUAUUAUUAUUAUUAUUAUUAUUAUAUUUAUAUAUUGUGAAAUUUUUUUAGAUAUUUUAAAUAUAAUUAAGGAUGUAUGAAUUGUUAUAAUAACGAUGACAAAAUUACAAUAGAAUAGAAUUAUAAUAUAACUAUAAGUAUUCAAGGUAUUUUAAAUACAAUUAAGGAUGUAACUUCAUAAAAAAUUAGUGGUUUGAAUUGAUAGUCAUUAAUUAUAAAAUAUGUUUUAUAAUAAUUAUUAAUUACUUUAAUUACAAUAAUAUAAAAAAAUUUCUGUUAUAAAUUCUAUAAUUUGCUAGAUCUCUUCUCCUGUUAUAGAAUUGGUGAGGAUUAGAGACUUAAAAGGAUAUAUGUGAUCGUGUAAUUAUAUUCCUACCAAUUUAUUUAAUAAUUAGAGGUUGAAUAUGACUUUUUUAUUUUUUAUUUUCAUAAUUUUUUAUUGAUUUAAUUUGAACUUUAUAGAAUUAAUAUUUAUAAUAUAUUAGUCAAUUAUAAAAUUAGAUGAUUACGACGAUUAUAAAUUAAUUCAUAUAUUGUAAUCAAUUAAUAAUUAAUUUGUUUAAUUAUGUCAUUUGGAUUGGUACUCAUUAACUAUAUAUAAAUCAAUUUUUUAAUUUAAAAUUAAAAUUAACAAAGAAUUAAUUACUUACAAUUCUGAAAAAUGACAUGUGUCAAUAUUCCUUUCAAAAAAUAUUGCUGUAUGUAUUUAUUAUAUUACUAUAAUAUUAACUAUAUAAAUCAAUUUUUAAUUUAAAAUUAAAAUUAAAAAAGAAUGAUUUGCUUACAAUUCUAAAAAAUACAGCGUGCCCAUAUUCCUUUUUGAAAAUAUUCUUGUACUAUAUCUAUUAUAGAUUAAUGAUAUGCAACCAAACUUAAAUUAAUAAUAAUAAGGUUAUUUUAGGUUUUCUUAUUAUGUAUAAAAAAAACAUCUAAGACAACAAUUAUCAACAAUAGAGGAAACAAUAAACAUUAUUUUGAAAGAAUUAUUAGCAAUAUUAUUAAUGUAAAUUAGAUUAAAAUAAGUUGCACUACACAAGAUCCAUCCUCCAUAAGCUGCGUGAUUAACAGCAUUAUAGUAUGCACGCGGUGCAUGCACAUGCACAUGCACGAUAACAUAGCUGCGCGCGCACAAUACGAGUGCUCUCCGUCUAUAACAACAACCCUAGGGAUCAUUUUGCGUUCUUGUUUCUUGAGGAGAAAUUCUCUGAUCCGAGAUCUCUUUUAACACUGGCAUAUCACUGAAUGUGAACUCCGAAAACCCCGACAUUUCUUUGUCACCAUUAUGGAUGUUCGAUUCCCUUUCUCUCCGGCUGAGGUCGCCAAAGUCCGCAUGGUUCAGUUUGGAAUUCUCAUUCCUGACGAGAUUGUUAUUUAUAUGAUUAUUUCUCCGUGUCGGAAAUUCUCAAAUCGAAAUGGAAUAGUCUUUCUUUCCAGUUUUAUGGUUUGGUUAAUUUAUUGUCCCCCCAUACUAUGAUGCACGAAUACCAUACGCAUACAAUAUGAUAAAUAUACAACUACAAUUAUGCAAAUUUAAAUUAAGAAUAUACUUCUUGAACA
rnacentral:lncRNA from 1 species